UGGGGAAUAUUGGACAAUGGGCGCAAGCCUGAUCCAGCCAUGCCGCGUGAGUGAUGAAGGCCCUAGGGUUGUAAAGCUCUUUCACCGGUGAAGAUAAUGACGGUAACCGGAGAAGAAGCCCCGGCUAACUUCGUGCCAGCAGCCGCGGUAAUACGAAGGGGGCUAGCGUUGUUCGGAUUUACUGGGCGUAAAGCGCACGUAGGCGGACUUUUAAGUCAGGGGUGAAAUCCCGGGGCUCAACCCCGGAACUGCCUUUGAUACUGGAAGUCUUGAGUAUGGUAGAGGUGAGUGGAAUUCCGAGUGUAGAGGUGAAAUUCCUAGAUAUUCGGAGGAACACCAGUGGCGAAGGCGGCUCACUGGACCAUUACUGACGCUGAGGUGCGAAAGCGUGGGGAGCAAACAGG
rnacentral:rRNA from 1 species